rnacentral:miRNA from 1 species
GCGCCGCGUGCCGGCCGCGGG